UAGCAGAACGACCAGAGA
rnacentral:rRNA from 1 species